AGGAUGAACGCUGGCGGCGUGCUUAACACAUGCAAGUCACGGGGGCCCAGCAAUGGGCAACCGGCGAACGGGUGCGUAACACGUGAGCAACCUACCGAAUUGUGGGGGAUAGCCGGCCCAACGGCCGGGUAAUACCGCAUACGCUCGAGACGAGGCAUUUCGACUCGAGGAAACCUCCGGGGCAAUUUGAGGGGCUCGCGGCCUAUCAGCUAGUUGGUGAGGUAACGGCUCACCAAGGCGACGACGGGUAGC
rnacentral:rRNA from 1 species